CUGAUUUCUUCUUGGUGGCACGCAACAUCCAAUGGCAACCCAUAAAAAAUCUACUAUAUACAGCCUUUCGUUUAUGCGUAGUUGACUCAACCACAGUCAUCUCACUACACUCAUUUAUGUUGUAGAUUUUUACAAUCCUAAUUAGGCGAGCUUUAUCGGGGAAAUACAUGCCCUUAGUCAAAACAUAUGGCCUGGACUCAUCCCACAUUUGUGAUCGAAAUUCAUCAUCAUCUCUUAUGAGGGCAUCCACGUUGGGCAUGCUUGGCAAUCAAGGUAGGGGAUAUUUCGCUCAUAAAAUGGUACGUGGGACUCAUACACACUAGGUUGCACGGGAGGUGGAGGAACAUGCUCCCUCACCGGUUCAGGUUCAACAUUCAC
rnacentral:lncRNA from 1 species